rnacentral:rRNA from 1 species
AACGUAGGUGGCAAGCGUUAUCCGGAUUUACUGGGCGUAAAGCGUGUGCAGGCGGAGGGCAAAGUGAGCUAUGAAAUCCCGGUGCUUAACACAGGGAUGGUAGCUCAGACUAGUCGUCUGGAGACUGAGAGAGGGAUGUGGAAUUCCGGGUGUAGUGGUGAAAUGCGUAGAGAUCCGGAGGAACACCAGAGGCGAAAGCGGCAUCCUGGCUCAGAUCUGACGCUCAGACACGACAGCAUGGGGAGCGAACGGG